AAUGAUGAAAUGAAAUGAUGAGGAAUGAAAGGGGGACCAUUUAUAGAGACGUAUAGACACAGACUAUAAAACAAUGUGCACAAAAGAAGGAAACAAGACCAGGGAACUGAUGUUAAAUAUAAAAGGGUACGUUGAUCCUGUGAGAAGAGACUGAAGAGACUUUAAGUGUCUGGAUGACAGCUUGUAAGAAUAACAAGAAUUUGGGGAGGUACAAGAAUGAUCAAAGGACAGGGGAUUGACUAUGGUGCUCCAUAUAGAGUGGAUAAUGAUAGUGAAUGAGAGAGAAAGCAGACUAACAACUCUGAUUUUGCUUCUGUUUAUACUUCCAAGGGGAAUGAUCUGGUUUGGGGAAGAGAGAACAGAAAUAGUUAAGAGAACCUUGAAAUCCAAGACCAAUGAGAAGAUGACAAGAAGGGCACUAGUUGCCCUCAUUGAGUUCAAGUCACCAGACUGGGGUGAACCACAUCUCAGAGUACUCAGAGUACAGAGAACCACAGAAAAAGGACAUCUCAGCCUGUUUUUAUUCAUUACUAUUAUUUGCAAAAAGACAGCCAAGAUAAGACCUGAAGUUCACAUAACUCCUUUUGUUACAGAGGAUGAGGAGGCUAAAAAAUUCUAAGAAGAACUCAAAGUGAUCUUCCAAAUUAAACCAACA
rnacentral:lncRNA from 1 species